GGCCCAUGUAUCAAGUUGAGUCCAUUAGGGACGCGUCCUAGGGUUGGAGGACGACUCUAGCACCCCUUUGGUCGUCCUCCCCUCUAUUUAUUUACAUCUAGAGCUGCCAUGAACAACUGGGUUUUGUUUAGAUCAAGUUUAGCCUUCGCUACUUGCUUGUAGGCGCGCGUGCAGGAUCAGCCGCCCGUCUCCUUGUCUUCGGAACCCCAUUGUUGAUUCAGAUUCAGUUUGAAACCUUCAAUUCAUCUUGCAAAUUCAGUGCUUGUUUCCUCGUUCUUGCUAGUUCUUCGAUUGCUUGCAGGACGGGAGCCCUAGGGGCUGGUUGUCGCGCUCCACAAGAUCGUGACGGCUGUUGGACGUGGUGUAUCGGUUGCUAAGGCGCGGUCUUGAGGGCUGUAGUCGGGCCGUGAACGUCUUCUCCAUCCACUAAUCGAGUUAUCCAGCGCCUCUCAUCGAAAGAUCAGGCCAAAAACCCUAGCGGGUUCGCAUCAGUUGGUAAUCAGAGCAAGGUUCUUCGGUGAGAGACUUCUAAUCCUUUGCUGUUUUUAAUUAAUUUCCUAUAGUCCAGAAAAGCCAAAAAAAAUAUAGUAGAUUAGUUUUUCCAUAAUCCUAUUAAACCUUUGUGCCUUGGCUAGUACCGUUUUAGUUAGGGCUUGUUGAAUUUGCGUUGCUUCGGUUUGUGUCGAGUUGCUGGUCUUAGUGUCUAGUCCUUUAGAGUUUCGAGUUCUUGUCACCAUCUAUACACAGCCGAGUAUUACCAUAUCUUCUCUCUGUCGAAUCUGUUGUGAAGUCCGAAUUGAACUGUGAUCCAAAAAGAAAGAUAACUCCAUACUUGUUCGGCCUUACUCUAGAGAGAGAGAGAGUGUGUGUGUGUGUAGUGAAUUGCUCUUUUGUAUUCCUUUGUUCAUAUAAUCAGUUUUUGAGGUUGCCCAAAAAAAGAAAAAAAAAGAAAAAUAAAAGAAAAGAGAAAAGAUUCAAAAAAAGGGGCUGUUUUUCAUAUUGAUUUUAGGUUUCUUCCACCUUGUUUUCGGGGGUGUGCUGUGGUUUUCCUUUGUGUCUAGGCUCGCAUCACGAUGGUUAUCCAGCGCCUCUCAUCGAAAGAUCAGGCCAAAAACCCUAGCGGGUUCGCAUCACGAUGGUUCUAUUGGGUGUGUCAUAUGGAAUCUUUCGUCGGUUCGUUUAGAGAUAGUGUUAGUAUUGGUAGAAGAUGUGUGCACGGUUUAUGCCUAAUGCACCAUAGGCUAAGAAACCAUUUUAGACGCAACCGAUGGUUCUCGUAGUUGAAGAGGCUCAAGUGGAGGCUCGAUUUGGUCUGUUCGGAUAUAGUUCUAAUCUUGAUGCAACAUAGUUGCACAGUUUGCAUGCAACGUACCAUAUGUUAAGAAAUCAAUUUGGACGCACCCAAUGGAAUUCCUAGAUGACGUGUGUCAUACAGAAUCUCACUUCAGUCUGUUCGGAGACAAUGUUAGUUUUGGUGCAAGAUAGGUGCAUAGUUUGUGCCUAAUGCACCAAAGUCUAAGAAACCAUUUUGGAAGCACUUGUUGGUACUCCUAGGUGAAGAGGCUCAAGUGGAGGCUGGGUUUGGUCUGUUUAGAGAUAGUGCUAAUCUUGAUGCAAGAUAAGUGCAUGAUUUGCAUGGAACAUACCAUAUGCUCAGAAAUCAAUUUGGACGCACCAGAUGGAAGUCCUAGAUGACAUAUGUCAUAUGGAAUCUCGCUUUGGUCUGUUUAGAAACAGUGUUAGUUUUGGUCCGAGAUAGGUGCACAGUUUGGACCUAAUGCACCACAGAAUAAGAAACCAUUUUGAAAGCACCUGAUGGUACUUCGGUGAAGAGGCUCAAGUGGAAGCUCGGUUUGGUCUAUUUGGAGAUAGUGCUAAUCUGAUGCAAGAUAGGUGCAUGAUUUGCAAAGAACAUACCAUAUGCUUAGAAAUCAAUUUGGAUGCACCCAAUGGAUCUCCUAGAUGACAUGUGUCAUAUGGAAUCUUGCUUUGGUCUGUUUGUAGGCAUUGUAAGUUUUAGUGCAAGAUAGGUGCAUAGUUUGCGCCUAAUGCACCAUAGUCUAAGAAACCAUUUUGGAUGCACUAUUUGGUACUCCUAGGUGAAGAGGCUCAAGUGGAAGCUUGGUUCGGUC
rnacentral:lncRNA from 1 species